CUAAAAAUUAGAAUCUGUGGUCACCACACAGUGUCAAGCUAACAACGGAGCUUGAAGCAAUUCGGCGUUACUACAUCAAAAAAGAUUGCUACAAUCCAGCAGAUGAACUACAGGGAGAGGCUGAAAGAACUAUGACUCUACUCCCUAGAGCACAGACGUGAGAGAUAUGUAAUAAUUUACUUGUGGAAAAUACAGGAAGGGCUAGUACCUAGUUUUGGCAUCGAAUGUUAUAUGAAUGUUC